GCCGAAGUGGCGGAAUGGCAGACGCGGCGGUCUCAAACACCGCUGGGCUCAAACCCAUGUGGGUUCGAAUCCCACCUUCGGCACCA
rnacentral:tRNA from 1 species